rnacentral:rRNA from 1 species
CCUACGGGAGGCAGCAGUGAGGAAUAUUGGUCAAUGGGCGUAAGCCUGAACCAGCCAAGUCGCGUGAGGGAUGAAGGUUCUAUGGAUCGUAAACCUCUUUUAUAAGGGAAUAAAGUGCGGGACGUGUCCCGUUUUGUAUGGACAUUAUGAAUAAGGAUCGGCAAACUCCGUGCCAGCAGCGGCGGUAAUACGGAGGAUCCGAGCGUUAUCCGGAUUUAUUGGGUGUAAAGGGUGAGUAGGCGGCCUUUUAAGUCAGCGGGGAAAGUCUGUGGCUCAACCAUAGAAUUGCCGUGGAAACUGGGAGGCUUGAGUAUGUUUGAGGCAGGCGGAAUGCGUGGUGUAGCGGUGAAAUGCUUAGAUAUCACGCAGAACCCCGAUUGCGAAGGCAGCCUGCCAAGCCAUGACUGACGCUGAUGCACGAAAGCGUGGGGAUCAAACAGGAUUAGAUACCCGUGUAGUC